GACGAACGCUGGCGGCGUGCUUAACACAUGCAAGUCGAACGGAGCGAAUGAAAGCUUGCUUUUAUGAGCUUAGUGGCAAACGGGUGAGUAACACGUAGGCAACCUGCCGACAGGGUGGGGACAACAUUCCGAAAGGAAUGCUAAUACCGAAUGAAGUGUAGGGGAGGCAUCUCCUCUGCAUGAAAGAUGGCCUCUGUAUAUGCUAUCACCUGUCGAUGGGCCUGCGUCUGAUUAGCUGGUUGGUGAGGUAACGGCUCACCAAGGCGACGAUCAGUAGCCGGUCUGAGAGGAUGAACGGCCACAUUGGGACUGAGACACGGCCCAGACUCCUACGGGAGGCAGCAGUGGGGAAUCUUCCGCAAUGGGCGCAAGCCUGACGGAGCAACGCCGCGUGAGUGAAGAAGGUCUUCGGAUCGUAAAGCUCUGUUGAUGGGGACGAACGUACGGAGUGCGAAUAGUG
rnacentral:rRNA from 1 species